rnacentral:pre_miRNA from 9 species
UCUCGAUAGCGUAAAAGUUAGUUCAUAUUUGUAUGAAAUGGGAUCGUUUGCCUACGUUUGCCGCUAGGGGCGCUGUUCCAACUGCAUUCAAAAUUGGGUUAACUUUUACGCUAUCGA